rnacentral:rRNA from 1 species
GGGGGAGUAACAUCCGGAAACGGGUGCUAAUACCGCAUAGUUUUUCUGAUCGCAUGAUCGGAAAGGAAAGACGGCCUUUGUGCUGUCGCUUAUGGAUGGACCCGCGGCGUAUUAGUUAGUUGGUGAGGUAAUGGCUCACCAAGACGAUGAUACGUAGCCGACCUGAGAGGGUGAUCGGCCACAUUGGGACUGAGACACGGCCCAAACUCCUACGGGAGGCAGCAGUAGGGAAUCUUCCGCAAUGGACGAAAGUCUGACGGAGCAACGCCGCGUGAGUGAAGAAAAGGUUUUCGGAUCGUAAAACUCUGUUGUCAGAGAAGAACAAGUCGGAGAGUAACUGCUCCGGCCUUGACGGUAUCUGACCAGAAAGCCACGGCUAACUACGUGCCAGCCGCUGC